rnacentral:rRNA from 1 species
UGGCGGACGGUGAGUAACGCGUGGGUAACCUGCCUUACACAGGGGGAUAACACCUGGAAACAGGUGCUAAUACCGCAUAAGCGCACAGGGCCGCAUGGCCCGGUGUGAAAAACUCCGGUGGUGUAAGAUGGACCCGCGUCUGAUUAGCUUGUUGGCGGGGUAGGGGCCCACCAAGGCGACGAUCAGUAGCCGGCCUGAGAGGGUGGACAGCCACAUUGGGACUGAGACACGGCCCAAACUCCUACGGAAGGCAGCAG